AAGCAGAGACGUAGUUUUCACCACUUUGCAUCUUUUACCCAGGUCAGAGGGAGAGCAAUACAGGCCCUCUGCUAGCACCUUGCCCUUGCUUCUGACAGGACACCAAGCUCAUAGCAGAGUUUUAGAUGUGGCUCGGCAGAAGAGAUCUACACAUCUGACUGAAUUGCUCCAAAAAUCUGGAAGUGACAGGAGUGUGUCGCAGAGUCCCAGGCUCAGACCCAGUCCUCCUGGGAGAUGCACAGAUCCUGCAGCUCAGAGCGCAGCCUCGUUUCACCGAUCAAGAAUUAGACCACACACUGGACUCAAGUCUCCGAUUUACAAUUCUUCUCCAUGUCUGAGUCCUGGACAGCAAGCUCAGAAGUCAUCCCCUUCCUUUCACCAAGGACCACGAAUCGGAAGCUCUCUUUCUCCAGCUCGUUCUUUUUCUGAAGUAAUCAGGUACUGUCCUAUACACAGGAGGGUGGUUUCUUCCUUUGACACUUCUCGAAAGGAUCUAUAAGACUCCAUGUAUCGGAUUGUGUCAACCAGUGGAAUUCAUCUGAUGUUUUAAUGUUUGAAUUAUGUAUAUUUCCACUUUUUAUAUCAGAUCAGCUAUUCAACCCAGAUAA